rnacentral:misc_RNA from 1 species
AAUGACUUUCAGAUGGUCAAAUUUUCAAAUGAAUGCCAAAGAAUUUAACAUGGAAAAAUAAUUUUUUUUUCCCUCUCUUUUCAAAGGAUUCUUAAGAGUAUGAAAAAUUGUAAAAGGUCACCUAAGUAAGUUGCUUGUAGUGGUUUCUAUGAUGUUGAGAGCAGUAGUGCUGCAUUCUUUGCAUCAGCAUUUCUGGAUUGGCUUCUGAUGUAUCCAAUUGCUUCAGUAAUUUUAUUUUGAAGUACAAAGUUACAGCAAAGAAAACUUGUUAUAUUCACAUGUAUAUACCCUGUUCUGUGAAAGUUUUCAUGGUGCAGCUUGGAAGAGACAUCAAGAUAGAAAAUGGGGAUUGCAUUUUAAGAUUUGGCACUGAGAAACACCACUGCCGGAUUC